UACGUAGGUGGCAAGCGUUGUCCGGAUUUACUGGGCGUAAAGAGCGCGCAGGCGGUCGUUCAAGUCGCGUGUGAAAGCCCCCGGCUCAACUGGGGAGGGUCACGCGAUACUGAUCGACUCGAAGGCAGGAGAGGGUAGUGGAAUUCCCGGUGUAGUGGUGAAAUGCGUAGAUAUCGGGAGGAACACCAGUGGCGAAGGCGACUACCUGGCCUGUUUCUUGACGCUGAGGAGCGAAAGCAUGGGGAGCGAACAGG
rnacentral:rRNA from 1 species